rnacentral:rRNA from 1 species
ACGUAGGGGGCAAGCGUUAUCCGGAAUUAUUGGGCGUAAAGAGUGCGUAGGUGGUUUUUUCCCCUUGAUGCUAAAGGCAAUAGCUUAACUAUUGUAAGCCUUGCGAACUGGAAGACUUGAGUGCAGGAGAGGAAAGUGGAAUUCCUAGUGUAGCGGUGAAAUGCGUAGAUAUUAGGAGGAACACCAGUGGCGAAGGCGACUUUCUGGACGGAAACUGACACUGAGGCACGAAAGCGUGGGGAGCAAACAG